UACGGAGGGUGCAAGCGUUAAUCGGAAUUACUGGGCGUAAAGCGCACGCAGGCGGUUGGAUAAGUUAGAUGUGAAAGCCCCGGGCUCAACCUGGGAAUUGCAUUUAAAACUGUCCAGCUAGAGUCUUGUAGAGGGGGGGAGAAUUCCAGGUGUAGCGGUGAAAUGCGUAGAGAUCUGGAGGAAUUCCGGUGGCGAAGGCGGCCCCCUGGACAAAGACUGACGCUCAGGUGC
rnacentral:rRNA from 1 species